GGGAGCUACGGUGGCUAACAGAGGACACUUUCUGUAGAGGAAUUUCUCUUUGUGGCUCUUCAGUUAUUGUCCACCAGGUCAGAUUACACACCUGAGAGAGGAGAAAACACAAAUGCAACAAAGUUGCAUCCAACUACCUAAGACAGCCAGCGUGAAGACAGCUGUGACGGGUGGAGCAAGGCAGCUCGUCACUGACUGGAUGUAGACGUACAGCUGUCCACUGUUGGCCGACUGAAGGAUGGGGAUCCACACCACACUCACCACCACCAAGAUCACGGUCACAAUCCUGAAACAGACAUGAACAAUGUCAGCCUCUUUUUAACUCUUUUUUGUACACAGGUAUUACUUUUCAAGCUUGAGCUGAUAAAAACAAAAUAAGCAGAGCAGAUGCUCUCUGAUAAGUUUCAUACUGUACCUGCCAACCAGCAGCAGCUCCUUUUCAGAUGCUUGGGGGCGGUGCUUCUUCCAGAUGUCCAUGGUGAAGAGCGUGGAGCUGCUGUUGAAGAUGGAGGUCAGUGAAGACAUCAGAGCGGCCAUCAUCACGGCUAUCAUAAGUCCCCUCAAGCCUGUAAUGCACGCAAACAUACUGAUGUCUGCAGGUCUGCACUAAUCAAUGCAUUUGAAAUAAUUUCGCACACAUAUGCCAUUGGGAGUAAAAAACUGUAUUCUUACCACUUGGCAUGAGUUCAGUGACCAGCUUAGGAAAGGCAAUGUUGGAGCACCCCACCUCAGCUCCACACACACGCACACACUCUUCUGGAUCGACACAUCCAACAGAGUCUGAAAUAUGAAGGCAAGACUCAAAGGAUAAGUCAAUAUAAAGUUUACCUUAAACAAGUCACAUUACUCUUAUGCUGGUUUCUACAGCUCUUCCUGUUGUCUGUUAACUCUGCUCAUUUAAAUGUUCUUUUUGGCAAAUAAAUUGUGUUAUAUGAUGCACAAACACCAAUAUUUUUACCCCUUCAUAUUUAGUUUGUAGUUUAAGUCUGAAUAAAAA